rnacentral:misc_RNA from 1 species
GAUGAAGAACGUAGCGAAAUGCGAUAAGUAAUGUGAAUUGCAGAAUUCAGUGAAUCAUCGAAUCUUUGAACGCACCUUGCGCUCCUUGGUAUUCCAAAGAGCAUGCCUGUUUGAGUAUCAUUAAAUUAUCAACUGUACCAAUUUGGUUGCAGAUUGGGUGUGGGAGAUUUUGCAGGCUUUUGAUUUCUCUUUGAGAAAACGGUCAGCUCUCCUGAAAUAUAUUAGCAGUGCCUUUGUUGGUUCAUUAGGUGUGAUAAUUUAUCUACAUCUUCACAUGGUACCUUCAUUUGUGUAGAGGUCAUAUUGCUUCUAAUUGUCUUUGGACAUAGAAAAAAAAAAACAUAUAAUUGUAUGGAAAACUUGAUCUCAAAUCAGGCAGGACUACCCGCUGAACUUAAGCAUAUCAAUAAGCGGAGGA